AACGAACGCUGGCGGCAGGCCUAACACAUGCAAGUCGAGCGAGAUUUUCGGAUCUAGCGGCGGACGGGUGAGUAACGCGUGGGAACGUGCCCUUUGCUACGGAAUAGCCCCGGGAAACUGGGAGUAAUUCCGUAUGUGCCCUACGGGGGAAAGAUUUAUCGGCAAAGGAUCGGCCCGCGUUGGAUUAGGUAGUUGGUGGGGUAAUGGCCUACCAAGCCGACGAUCCAUAGCUGGUUUGAGAGGAUGAUCAGCCCCCCUGGGACUGAGACCCGGCCCAGACUCCUACGGGAGGCAGCAGUGGGGAAUUUUAGACAAUGGGGGAAACCCUGAUCUAGCCAUGCCGCGUGAGCGAUGAAGGCCUUAGGGUUGUAAAGCUUUUUCAGCUGGGAAGAUAAUGACGGUACCAGCAGAAGAAGCCCCGGCUAACUCCGUG
rnacentral:rRNA from 1 species